rnacentral:rRNA from 1 species
UGGGGAAUUUUGGACAAUGGGCGCAAGCCUGAUCCAGCCAUGCCGCGUGCGGGAAGAAGGCCUUCGGGUUGUAAACCGCUUUUGUCAGGGAAGAAAUCUUCUGAGUUAAUACCUCGGGAGGAUGACGGUACCUGAAGAAUAAGCACCGGCUAACUACGUGCCAGCAGCCGCGGUAAUACGUAGGGUGCAAGCGUUAAUCGGAAUUACUGGGCGUAAAGCGUGCGCAGGCGGUUUUGUAAGACAGAGGUGAAAUCCCCGGGCUCAACCUGGGAACUGCCUUUGUGACUGCAAGGCUUGAGUGCGGCAGAGGGGGGAUGGAAUUCCGCGUGUAGCAGUGAAAUGCGUAGAUAUGCGGAGGAACACCGAUGGCGAAGGCAAUCCCCUGGGCCUGCACUGACGCUCAUGCACGAAAGCGUGGGGAGCAGACAGGAUUAGAUACCCUGGUAGUCCACGCCCUAAAACGAUGUCAACUGGUUGUUGGGAAGGUUCCUUCUCAGUAACGUAGCUAACGCGUGAAGUUGA